GAAAUGCGAUAAGUAGUGUGAAUUGCAGAAUUCAGUGAAUCAUCGAAUCUUUGAACGCACAUUGCGCCCUUUGGUAUUCCAAAGGGCAUGCCUGUUCGAGCGUCAUUUGUACCCUCAAGCUUUGCUUGGUGUUGGGCGUCUUGUCUCUAGCUUUGCUGGAGACUCGCCUUAAAGUAAUUGGCAGCCGGCCUACUGGUUUCGGAGCGCAGCACAAGUCGCACUCUCUAUCAGCAAAGGUCUAGAUCCAUUAAGCCUUUUUUUCAACUUUUGACCUCGGAUCAGGUAGGGAUACCCGCUGAACUUAA
rnacentral:rRNA from 1 species